rnacentral:snRNA from 1 species
AUACUAACCUGGCAAGGGAGAUACCAUGAUCACAAAGGUGGUUUUCCGAGGGCAAGGCUUAUCAAUUGCACUCUGGAUGUGCUGACCCCUGCAAUUUCCCCAAAUGUCGGAAACUCGACUGCAUAAUUUGUGGCAGUGGGAGCAGGACAGGAGGAAAGCCCCAG